UGCCACUGACAGACUAUGGUACUGUCGGAAAAGAUAGAAAAUUGCUUUUUGACUUUUAUGUAAAAAUCAUAGAUAUUACAGUUACUUACAUAACAAACAU